rnacentral:pre_miRNA from 1 species
CGGAUAUGGACCUUCAUCAGUGAUCGACUAAGACUAUUUUUUCGUGAUUUCUUGAGGAUUCGUUCACUUUGUGGGAAUUAAAUUGUGAAAUAUUUAAAUCCCAUAAAAACCUUUCCAACUAAAUUUUCCUGCUGUUAUGUUUUUCCUUAAUUCCCACAAAGUGAACGAAUCCUCAAGAAAUCACGAAAACAUAGUCUUAGUCGAUCAGUGAAGAAGGUCCAUAUCCG